rnacentral:rRNA from 1 species
GAUGAACGCUGGCGGCGUGCCUAAUACAUGCAAGUCGAACGAAACGUCUUUAUCACCGAGUGCUUGUACUCACCGAUAAAGAGGUGAGUGGCGAACGGGAGAUUAACACGUGGUUAACCUGCCCUCAAGAGGGGGAUAACACUAGGAGACAGGUGCUAAUACCGCAUAACCAUGGUUACCGCAUGGUAACUAUGUAGAAGGGGGUUAUACUACCUCUGUUUGAUGGGCGCGCGGCGCAUUAGCUAGGUGUUGGGGUAUAGGCUUACCUAGGCAAUGACGCGUCGCCCAAUUGAGAGGCUGGUCGGCCACCUUGGGACUGAGCCGCGCCCCAUGCUCCUACGGGAGGCCGCAGUAGCGAACGUGCCGCAAUGGGCGAAAGCCUUGUGGAGCAACGCCACGUCGGUGGCGGCGGUCUUCCGAUCGUAAAACCGUGUUGUUAGUGAAGAACGUGCGUGGGAGUAACUGUUCACGUUGCGACGGUAUCUAGCCAGAAAGCCACGGCUAACUACGUG